rnacentral:tRNA from 1 species
UGGCGCAAUGGCAGCGCGUAACACUCCUAAUGCUGGAGUUGUGGGUUCGAAUC